UGCAAGUCGAGGGGUAACAUAGUAGCUUGCUACUGAUGACGACCGGCGCACGGGUGCGCACCGCGUAUGGAACCUACCUUUUACAGGGGAAUAGCCUUUGGAAACGAAGAUUAAUGCCCCAUAGUAUCAUUAUACAGCAUUGUAUUUUGAUUAAAGGCUUCGGCCGGUGAAAGAUGGCCAUGCGUCCCAUUAGUUUGUUGGUAAGGUAACGGCUUACCAAGACUACGAUGGGUAGGGGCCCUGAGAGGGGGAUCCCCCACACUGGUACUGAGACACGGACCAGACUCCUACGGGAGGCAGCAGUGAGGAAUAUUGGACAAUGGAGGAGACUCUGAUCCAGCCAUGCCGCGUGCAGGAAGAAUGCCCUAUGGGUAGUAAACUGCUUUUAUACGGGAAGAAAAAGAGCUACGUGUAGCUUACUGACGGUACCGUAAGAAUAAGGACCGGCUAACUCCGUGCCAGCAGCCGCGGUAAUACGGAGGGUCCGAGCGUUAUCCGGAAUUAUUGGGUUUAAAGGGUCCGUAGGCGGGCGAUUAAGUCAGUGGUGAAAGUCUGCAGCUCAACUGUAGAAUUGCCUUUGAUACUGGUCGUCUUGAGUUAUAGUGAAGUUGCCGGAAUAUGUAGUGUAGCGGUGAAAUGCAUAGAUAUUACAUAGAACACCGAUUGCGAAGGCAGGUGACUAACUAUAUACUGACGCUGAUGGACGAAAGCGUGGGGAGCGAACAGGAUUAGAUACCCUGGUAGUCCACGCCGUAAACGAUGGAUACUAGCUGUCCGGGACCUUGAGUCCUGGGCGGCCAAGCGAAAGUGAUAAGUUCCCACCUG
rnacentral:rRNA from 1 species